UACGUAGGGUGCAAGCGUUGUCCGGAUUUACUGGGCGUAAAGAGCGCGCAGGCGGUCGAUCAAGUCGAGUGUGAAAGCCCCCGGCUCAACUGGGGAGGGUCAUUCGAUACUGAUCGACUCGAAGGCAGGAGAGGGUAGUGGAAUUCCCGGUGUAGUGGUGAAAUGCGUAGAUAUCGGGAGGAACACCAGUGGCGAAGGCGACUACCUGGCCUGUUCUUGACGCUGAGGCGCGAAAGCUAGGGGAGCAAACGGGG
rnacentral:rRNA from 1 species